CAGCUACACAUGCAAGUCGAGCGGUAGAGAGAAGCUUGCUUCUCUUGAGAGCGGCGGACGGGUGAGUAAUGCCUAGGAAUCUGCCUGGUAGUGGGGGAUAACGUUCGGAAACGGACGCUAAUACCGCAUACGUCCUACGGGAGAAAGCAGGGGACCUUCGGGCCUUGCGCUAUCAGAUGAGCCUAGGUCGGAUUAGCUAGUUGGUGAGGUAAUGGCUCACCAAGGCGACGAUCCGUAACUGGUCUGAGAGGAUGAUCAGUCACACUGGAACUGAGACACGGUCCAGACUCCUACGGGAGGCAGCAGUGGGGAAUAUUGGACAAUGGGCGAAAGCCUGAUCCAGCCAUGCCGCGUGUGUGAAGAAGGUCUUCGGAUUGUAAAGCACUUUAAGUUGGGAGGAAGGGCAGUUACCUAAUACGUGAUUGUUUUGACGUUACCGACAGAAUAAGCACCGGCUAACUCUGUGCCAGCAGCCGCGGUAAUACAGAGGGUGCAAGCGUUAAUCGGAAUUACUGGGCGUAAAGCGCGCGUAGGUGGUUAGUUAAGUUGGAUGUGAAAUCCCCGGGCUCAACCUGGGAACUGCAUUCAAAACUGACUGACUAGAGUAUGGUAGAGGGUGGGUGGAAUUUCCUGUGUAGCGGUGAAAUGCGUAGAUAUAGGAAGGAACACCAGUGGCGAAGGCGACCACCUGGACUGAUACUGACACUGAGGUGCGAAAGCGUGGGGAGCAAACAGGAUUAGAUACCCCUGGUAGUCCACGCCGUAAACGAUGUCAACUAGCCCGUUGGGGAGCCUUGAGCUCUUAGUGGCGCAGCUAACGCAUUAAGUUGACCGCCUGGGGGAGUACGGCCGCAAGGUUAAAACUCAAUGAAUUGACGGGGGCCCGCACAGCGGUGGAGCCAUGUGUGGUUUAAUUCGAAGCAACGCGAGAACCUUACCAGCCUUGACAUCCCAUGACUUCUAGAAAGAAUAA
rnacentral:rRNA from 1 species